AGAAGAAAAUAUCAUUUCUAUAGCGCCUCUCAAGAUAAAAAUCACGAGGCGCUUAAGCAUAAUUCUGCGCACACGAAGAUGCAUAAGAGACCUGGAUGAUGAAGGUUAAAGGAAUCACUGAAGCGGUGUGAAGCGCUCCGUCGCGCGUCUAGACGGUACCGUAGGAGGCGAGCUGCCGUGGUUCGCCGCAUGCUACAGCAGCGAGCUAUCUAGGUGCGCACAGCGUCCCCCGGUCCCCUCCUCCUCCCCCUCCCUCUUGUCCGGAACUUUACCUCAUGUUGGUCUCUCUUCCGUUAGACCAAGCACGGGUACGGAGUAGAUGGAGUUAAACACCUUUUAAGUUGACAGAACGAGGAGACAAAUGAUCAGAAGUCCAUUCACUGUUUCGCCGCUCAUGAGGGGGAGAGUCUCUGCAGCAAGUCCCGCGACCUGCUCUUGCCAGAUGCUUCGGACAGACUCUCGCCGUUCUGCUGAAAACGGCUGAUUUUUAUUGAAGAUUACAGGAAUGUUACAUACGUAGUUUGCCAUACACACACGUAAUUCUGCCAUCUGCACCUGCAGACGCACGUCAGCUAAUAGCCUUGUUAAUGAAAGACCAAUUCAUCCCAAGGACAUGCAACCUUGAGAUGAUCAGGACACAUCCUGCAACAUCCUUUGCUAACAAAGACAGUUGUUCUUGUAUUGAGGAACUGAAGGAAGGAACGCUUUCACUCCCUUAUGCAGCUGUUCAGCUUGAGCAGAAAAGGCACAGAGAGGUCUUUGAUAUUAUAACAAGAUUCCAUGAAAAGGCAUAUAAUAAUGUAUUUAUGAUAAUAUAUAAGGGGCAAAAGUGAGAGAUACAUAUUUAAUCAUAUAAAAGAGCUUAUAAUAAUAUAUGAAAGAGCUUAUAUGAGAGAUAUAUAUUUUCAAUCCCCCUUUUGAACUCUUUUAAGAGUUCAAUAAAGAUAUAAGAAAUCAAAACAAUAACACCAAAUUCCAUCAAAAAGAAUCCAAUAAGCAAAGUUUUUUUAAAAUACCAAUACAAACAACCAAUCAGAUUACAUUUACUCAUCUUUCUAGCAGUAAACCAAUACAAAAAACAUGAUCAUACUUUCAACUGAACAUGUUACAACAUGUAUGGAUCGCAUGCAACUCCAUAUGAGGGCGAAAAACCCUAAUUAUCAUAUGUUUAUAGGGAAAAUUCCCCCAUGUCCCCCCAUUUGUCAUAUCUCAAUUUUGGGGCGAACACCUGUUGGCAUAGAGUGUGCAUGCCUAGGACAUCAAUGAUCAACAAAAAAUAAAACAAAACAAACAAAAAAAUCAUAAAAAUGAACUGGUGAAGGGAUGGUUACAUAAAUCACUGAACAUUCUCACACUCUAACAACAUCUUCUUCAUCAUGAGAGUCAUCACUAUCAUCAGAGAGUUCCCCUCCCAAAUAGAUGUUAGGAUUGGCUAGUAACAAGGGCAUCUGGAUAAUUGGGUCAGCAGGUGGAGGGUGUAAAAUAUUACUCUUGUAAAAUAAAUGAGGGUGUUAAAUACAACCCUUGUAGAAUGUUCAUAGGGUGGUUACUUCUUCCCCCUGUUGAGGACCCUUCACUGGCUCCAGGCAGCUGCAGGGGGUGAUGAUGUCAAGAUUCUCGUCCUGCAGGAUGUGGUGGCAGCUUGGCAUGCUACUGUAGUCAGCUACUUCUCUUCCUGGUUUUUUGGAUCCUUUCUCUGGUUAGGCAGAUGUCAGCUGCUUCUCUUCCUGGUCCUUGGGUACUUUUUCUGGUCAGGCAGAUGUCGGCUGCUUCUCUUCCAGGUUAGGCUCCUCCCGUCCAGCCGGACAGCGUGUGACGUCCUCUCCGUGAUCCUGUAUGGCUCGGUCCACCUCGGUUCCGUCCACUUCCUUUUGGUGACUUUUAGCAGGACCCAGACGCCUGGCACCGAAGACGAAGCCUCUUCGUGUGUGUAGUUUUGGUCCAAUGAAGGCUUUCUCGGCUUGUGCAGUCCUUGAUCUCGGCAGAUAGUUGGUAGGAAGAUUCACACUCCGGCCGGACCAGAAGUUCCCCGGACCGAUCGCCUAGGGAUUAGAGGUUAUGCACAAAAAUGUCCUAGCUCUUACUGACCCUAGCCUCUGAUACCUUCAACAUCAGACACAUACAGUUACGAACAGCAAGCGCAAUUAAAGGUAUAGUGACAUCACGACAUGGACACACACAGACACACAAACACAUACACAUGCACAUACACAGAGAGAGAGAGAGAGAGUAAGAAUGUGUGUGGGAGAAAGAAAUGAGUGGGAUCCACUUCGCCACCAGCAUCUCCACCUGUGUCACAGAGAAAAAUUACAAAGAAAUUAAAACACAAAGCAAACAACAAUAAUUCAAUGAGUAUAAAUGAUCAAACUAAAACAUACAACCAUGCAUGGGUUUUAUAACAGUUCCGGCAACACUGGAGAGGAAGCCUUGUAUAAUGAAUUCUUAAGAUGUCCUUCAUCAAUUAGAGGUUAUAGCCAAAUUGUUUCAGGAUCCUGAAUUUGAAUUUGAAUUGGUUAAUUUACGCAGAAUAGUCCAAUGUCUUUGUUGAUGUUUCUCAAGGCUCGGCCAUGCCCAUAUAGAUAAAUAAACAAACAAACAAGACAAACACAGUCAAACACACGGUCCAUACACGUCUCUGUGCCCUCACACACCAAGCAAAUGUCAGACUGAAGCGAAAGUGUGAAAACACUUAACCUAACGCUAAAUCAGUGGAAAGAAAAAAUAAGACCUAAAGCGUGUAAUCAAAUUAAUCCAACAAAACUUCCCAUAACUGCCGUUCUAAACUCAUGUUGCGGUGUGAUCUCUCCAAUUAAAAAUUAGGACAACCACUUUUACUAUCAAUUCAACCAAAUAGUUUCAGGUUGUCCCUUACCUAAACUACCUGUCUUUCUUACCUUCUUUCUUUCUUUCUUUCUUUCUUUUUUAGGAACACUACUCGCAAGAAAUCCUAAGAAUUAAUUCACUACUUAAGGUUAAUUCAUAAAUAACGAAACUGCAGUUACAGGUUUGUUUGUGCAUAGUAUUGGUAAUCAGCAGUUUUUUCCUUAUCUCCUCAUCUAGAAGUGUUUCUGUGCUACUCCUCCAUCUAUAACACAAGUUAGUAUCAUCCUUAAAGCAUCUGAAAUUAAGCUGCAUUGCUAAAUCAAUAACAUGAUUUGUGCUAAGAAAUACUCCCCUAUCCUCUUCCUUUUUCCAGUGGCACUGAAUGACAGAUUUUAGAUCAAUUUAACGUUUUAUGACUAUUACGUUUCAUUUAAUUAAUUUUGCUUUUUCUCUCUUAUUUUUAUCUAUUUAUUUAUUUAUGUUAUUUAUUUAUUUAUCAUGCCAUCCUGCGAUGAUAAUCCUAAAGACUUGUUAGCCAAUUUGUCGUCAAAAAGGCCAAUUAAAAAUAUUAUGUUAAAGAUUUCACAAGAUAAAAAAUGUGAACAUAAUUUUUAUCGAAUGAGGGGUACCAUUUAUUCAAUAUCUUGUAACAUUAUUUUCUACCUCACUAUUGUCUCGGAUGAGAUGUUCCAUGAAUCAUUUAGUCAGCUGAAUGCCAAAUUAUUCAUUUAAUGUUUAUUUUUUAUGCAAUGAAUGGAAUGGGAUGGAACGUUACUAUAAACUGUCCGGAAAUUUGCGCAUGUUUGCUCGAAGGAGAGAACUGUUGAAGCCUAAAGCGUUCUCCUAGACUUAUAAAUAGACACCGUUUCCUUAACCAAUGAAAAUAAGUGAUGACGCUGAUGUAUUCCGUUUUGAAAAGAAAAUAAGGCUUUACUGCAUGUCCGCUGCAGCUGAGAAUCCUAGGACAAUAAAGAUUAUAUUGACGUCCAAUGGUGAGUUGGGCUGAAAUCCAGGUUACUAAUCCUAUUAUUUAUUUAUUUAUUGAUAUUAUUAUUAUCUUUUUUUAGGCUAACUUUCUCAGUUAACUAUGUUCUACAGUAGUUUAGUAAAUUUUCCACAGUUCUGACAUUUCAUCAAUUCAACUGGUUGUUGCCAAAAAGCCUUGUUCAUUACCUGACUGCAGCAAGCACUCUUUUACUGGGUGUAACCAUAGGAAACAGUCUCUUUUGAGCCUCUCUUUGUAAGUCCAGGAUGACCACCGUCAUUGAUUAAAGUUCACAUGUUAGCACACAUGCUCCCCCUUUUGUACUUUGUUUCAUCAGCAGCAGGGCAAAUAAGUUUCUGCCUCUUUGUCCAUCUUGUAGUGCUCCCCGUCUUUAUGUUAUGAGUCACAGCUUUUGGUGAGGGCUUCCAGGUUCUCUUUGGUGAGGGCUUCCAGGUUCUCUUUGUAUAGAAGUCAGAGCCAAACAUUCUUUGCAGCUGGUUGUGACAGGCCCACCCAGUAAAGUUCAUGCCUGCCACAAUGCACAGCAAACGUUUUCCUUAAAUAUGUUGAUUGAGUUAAAAUGACAGAACUUUCUCUUUUACAAAUCAAAAUCAACGAUGGUUUCUAAUAUUUAGUCGACUUUAUUGACUCAAAGGUAAAUCUAGACUACUUCCUAUGCACAAUUUUUCUGAAUCGUCAAGUCGGUUCUACACAGGUUUUAAACUUUAGGCACAAUCUAUCCCAAAUGCAAGAUCCCUCCUUUCAUUUUUUGUUUAUCUAUUUUAUUUUGGGAAAAUAACUACCAGUUUUUAACUCAAAACAGCCUAGUACAGUUUCUAGCCAGGUUACAGGAAAUAAUACUUAGUUUAUCUGUUUUUUCAUUAUUCAGCAUCUCAAAAUCCAGCCAUUAACGUUAAUGGUUCUUAAAGUUGAGGUAAGACAAUUAUUGGAUUUUGUUUUAUAGCAAGAUUUAACAAAUAUUUUAUUUCCUGACUGAUUAUUUGUUAAUUUUAUGGUUUUCAUAAAGAUGAUCCUGAGAGGUUCAGAGCUGCUUUUCGCAGUACCCUGUGCUAUUUUUAGACUGCGGGACUCCUGUGUGUAAAAGUGGGUGGAGUCAGGUCCCCAGGCUGAAACUCCAGUCAUUCUCACUAGAUCUGUCCGAGAGGAAGGAUCUCCUGAUUACCCUAACCAGGAGCCUUAAGUCUCUCGAACUAAAUAACCGUCUAGUAAAAACAUGGACCGCACCGUUUCUCAAGCAGCUGCUCCCUCUAUUAAAAACUGAGUCAUUCAGAAGAUCCAGCGAAAGCAGCUCAUGCAAGAAGACACACAUUCACUCAUUCACAAGGCACAGAGACAUUCUUUGUUUGUCACAGUCUCUUUUUAUUAUUAUUAUUAUUUUUUUAAGGUAAGUCAGUUCGUCACUUAUUUAUUCUCUCUCUAUAUAUAUAUAAUAUUUUAAGCACAGAAUUUAUUUAACACUGCACUGGUUAUUUUCAGAAUUUAAUGCUUACUAUGCUUUUAAGCAGGCCUUAUGUAACAUUAGAGCAAAUCCAAUUGCAAUUUUUUUUUGAGAGCGCUCUGAGGAAUAGUUUAUAUAUUUAUUUUCUGCAGAUCUGUUUUGAUUUUACUGUUUAGCAGCUAUAUGACUAUAUUUCUAAAAUAAAGCUGUCAUUUACAUCCUUA